UUUUAUUUGAGAGUUUGAUCCUGGCUCAGGAUGAACGCUGGCGGCGUGCCUAACACAUGCAAGUUGAGCGAUUUACUUCGGUAAAGAGCGGCGGACGGGUGAGUAACGCGUGGGUAACCUACCCUGUACACACGGAUAACAUACCGAAAGGUAUGCUAAUACGGGAUAAUAUAUUUGAGAGGCAUCUCUUGAAUAUCAAAGGUGAGCCAGUACAGGAUGGACCCGCGUCUGAUUAG
rnacentral:rRNA from 1 species